UACGUAGGCAGCGAGCGUUGUUCGGAGUUAUUGGGCGUAAAGCGCGUGUAGGCGGCCGUGCAAGUCGGGUGUGAAAGCCCUCGGCCCAACCGAGGAAGUGCGCCCGAAACUGCAUGGCUUGAGUACCGGAGAGGAUGGCGGAAUUCCCCAAGUAGAGGUGAAAAUUCGUAGAUAUGGGGAGGAACACCGGUGGCGAAGGCGGCCAUCUGGACGGAUACUGACGCUGAGACGGCGAAAAGCGUGGGGAGCAACAGGG
rnacentral:rRNA from 1 species